CUUUCAGCGAUGGAUAUNUUGGCUCGGGCACCU
rnacentral:rRNA from 1 species